GAUGAGGAACGUAGCGAAAUGCGAUACUUGGUGUGAAUUGCAGAAUCCCGUGAACCAUCGAGUCUUUGAACGCAAGUUGCGCCCGAAGCCAUUAGGCCGAGGGCACGCCUGCCUGGGCGUCACACGUCGUUGCCCCCCCAUCUACUCCUUCGGGAUUGCGGGGGGCGGAUGAUGGCCUCCCGUGCGCCUCGCCGCGCGGUUGGCAUAAAUGCCAAGUCCUCGGCGACGCACGCCACGACAAUCGGUGGUUGCGAAACCUCGGUUGCCCGUCGUGUGCGGUCGUCGCGCAUCGAGGGCUCGAAAAAAUUGCCGGGUUCCGGCUCGGCUUUCAACGCGACCCCAGGUCAGGCGGGGUUACCCGCUGAAUUUAAGCAUAUCAAUAAGCGGAGGA
rnacentral:misc_RNA from 1 species